CUUAAAAAGAAGCUUGUCAACUGCUGCAGUCUUUCUGAACCUGGGGUGUGGCUUUUUUUGGGUAUAACUCAGACAGUUCCAUUGUCUAGCAGGUAGGAGGGGCAUUACAUUGUCACGGAUCACAUCUUUUUCCUCACACGUCCACAAACCUGGAAGAUUAAUUAUACUCUCGUUUGUAAAAUGCAGUACCCCAAGUGAUUAGGGAAGAAAGGAAUUGAGAACAUGAUUUUAAGUACCUAAAAGCAACACAGCCGUAGCUUGAUUUGAAAGAAAACAGCUGACAAGAAAAACAAUAAGGCAAAAAUAUGGAGCAGCGUCGCUGAGGCUGGGGGAGGGAAGAGGACUCAAAGAGGACUCAGGGGCUCUGCAAGAGGACGUGCAGUGAGGGACAGAAGCACCAGCCCUCCCAUCAGUGGCUUCCACGCGCAGUGUCGGUGCAAACCACCGGUGAGGCACACUUGUGUAGUGAGCGCAGCAGCAGCAGGGCGGACGUGCAUUCCUGUCCACAGCCAUGGUGGUGAGGUCUGGCAGAAGAGCUGCAGCUCCGUGGGUGGAAAAUGUGCUUUGCUUCAUUGAGGUGAGUCACGUUGCAAGGUGCUGUCGUACGCAGAGGCCACGCUCCACAUUGGAGGGGUGACACUAAGUGAGGACCGCAACAAAUGAUGAAAUAAGGCCA
rnacentral:lncRNA from 1 species